rnacentral:rRNA from 1 species
CCUACGGGAGGCAGCAGUGGGGAAUAUUGCACAAUGGGGGAAACCCUGAUGCAGCGACGCCGCGUGAGUGAAGACGUAUUUCGGUAUGUAAAGCUCUAUCAGCAGGGAAGAAACCCACCCUCCGGGGUGGCUGACGGUACCUGACUAAGAAGCCCCGGCUAACUACGUGCCAGCAGCCGCGGUAAUACGUAGGGGGCAAGCGUUAUCCGGAUAUACUGGGUGGAAAGGGAGCGUAGGUGGCAAGGCAAGUCGGAUGUGAAAACCCGGGGCCCAACCCCGGGAGUGCAUUUGAAACUGUCUGGCUAGAGUGCAGGAGAGGUAAGUGGAAUUCCUAGUGUAGCGGUGAAAUGCGUAGAUAUCAGGAGGAACACCGGCGGCGAAGGCGGCCUGCUGGACUGCGACUGACGUUGAGGCUCGAAAGCGUGGGGAGCGAACAGGAUUAGAUACCCUUGUAGUC